rnacentral:rRNA from 1 species
GAUUCUGGCUCAGGAUGAACGCUGGCGGCAUGCCUAAUACAUGCAAGUCGAACGGAGUGAAGCCUUCGGGUUUCAUUCAGUGGCGAACGGGUGAGUAAUACGCAGGGAACCUGGCCAUGGCAGGGGGAUACACUCUGGAAACGGAGCAUAAGACCCCAUAGGCAGUAAGGCGGCAUCGCCUUACUGUUAAAGAAAGCUGAAAGGCUUUGGCGAUGGAUGGACCUGCGGUGCAUUAGCUUGUUGGUGAGGCAACGGCUUACCAAGGCGAUGAUGCAUAGCCGGCCUGAGAGGGCGGACGGCCACACUGGGACUGAGACACGGCCCAGACUCCUGCGGGAGGCAGCAGUAGGGAAUUUUCGUCAAUGGGCGCAAGCCUGAACGAGCAAUGCUGCGUGAGUGAGGAAGGUCUUCGGACUGUAAAGCUCUGUUGCCGGGGAAAAAGGGGAAAUGCAGGAAAUGGCAUUUCAUGGAUGGUACCCGGCCAGAAAGCCACGGCUAACUACGUGCCAGCAGCCGCGGUAAUACGUAGGUGGCGAGCGUUAUCCGGAAUGAUCGGGCGUAAAGGGUGCGCAGGCGGUCUGUUAAGUCUGAAGGCAAAGGGAUGAGCUCAACUCAUUUAUGAUUCAGAAACUGGCAGACUUGAGGACAGGAGAGGGCGGUGGAACUCCAUGUGUAGCGGUAAAAUGCGCAGAGAUAUGGAAGAACACCAGUGGCGAAGGCGGCCGCCUGGCCUGUGACUGACGCUGAGGCACGAAAGCGUGGGGAGCAAAUAGGAUUAGAUACCCUAGUAGUCCACGCCGUAAACGAUGAGGAGCAGGUGUUGGGAGUGAAAUCUCAGUGCCGAAGCCAACGCAGUGACUCCUCCGCCUGGGGAGUAUGCACGCAAGUGUGAAACUCAAAGGAAUUGACGGGGGCCCGCACAAGCGGUGGAGUAUGUGGUUUAAUUCGAAGCAACGCGAAGAACCUUACCAGGUUUUGACAUCGGAUGCGAAGGCGCAGAGAUGCGCUGGAGGCUAUCAUCCAGACAGGUGGUGCAUGGUUGUCGUCAGCUCGUGUCGUGAGAUGUUCAGUUAAGUCUGGCAACGAGCGCAACCCCCGUGGUAUGUUACUAACGCAUUUGGGCGAGGACUCAUAUCAGACUGCCGGUGACAAACCGGAGGAAGGCGGGGAUGACGUCAAAUCAUCAUGCCCCUUAUGACCUGGGCUACACACGUACUACAAUGGCGUCUACAGAGGGAAGCGACCCUGAGAAGGGAAGCGAAACCGGAAAAGGGCGUCCCAGUUCGGAUUGAAGUCUGCAACCCGACUUCAUGAAGAUGGAAUCGCUAGUAAUCGCGGAUCAGCAUGCCGCGGUGAAUACGUUCCCGGGCCUUGUACACACCGCCCGUCAAACCAUGGAAGCCGGCAACGCCCGAAGCCGGUGGCAUAACCUUUUAGGAGUGAGCCGUCGAAGGCGGGGCCGAUGACUGGGGUUAAGUCGUAACAAGGUAUCC